UACGUAGGGUGCGAGCGUUGUCCGGAAUUAUUGGGCGUAAAGGGCUCGUAGGCGGUUUGUCGCGUCGGGAGUGAAAACCCAGGGCUUAACUCUGGGCUUGCUUUCGAUACGGUCAGACUAGAGGUAUGCAGGGGAGAACGGAAUUCCUGGUGUAGCGGUGAAAUGCGCAGAUAUCAGGAGGAACACCGGUGGCGAAGGCGGUUCUCUGGGCAUUACCUGACGCUGAGGAGCGAAAGUGUGGGGAGCGAACAGG
rnacentral:rRNA from 1 species